GCAAAGGGAUUCUAGGGUUCCGCGGCGCUCGCGCCGGACUGGUCCGAGGGAAUCCGCGCGAUAGCCGUUCUAUUGCGAAUGACACGGAGGGACAAAAGCCCGGGAGAU
rnacentral:sRNA from 2 species